CGAAGUAUAGUAUAACAAAAACAUUUCGCUUACACCGAAAAGAAAUCUGUUAAACCCAGAUUACUUCGA
rnacentral:tRNA from 2 species